GACGAACGCUGGCGGCGUGCUUAACACAUGCAAGUCGAACGGAAAGGCCCUGCUUUUGUGGGGUGCUCGAGUGGCGAACGGGUGAGUAACACGUGAGUAACCUGCCCUUGACUUUGGGAUAACUUCAGGAAACCGGGGCUAAUACCGUAUAGGAGCUCCUGCUGCAUGGUGGGGGUUGGAAAGUUUCGGCGGGUGGGGAUGGACUCGCGGCUUAUCAGCUUGUUGGUGGGGUAGUGGUUUACCAAGCCUUUGACGGGUAGCCGGCAUGAGAGGGUGACCGGCCACCUUGGGACUGAGAGACGGCCCAGACUCCUACGGGAGGCAGCAGUGGGGAAUAUUGCACAAUGGGAGGAAGCCUGAUGAGGCAACGUCGCGUGCGUGAUGACGGCCUUCGGGUUGUAAACAGCUUUCGCCUGUGACGAAGCGUGAGUGACGGUAAUGGGUAAAGAAGCACCGGCUAACUACGUG
rnacentral:rRNA from 1 species